GUUAGGAAUACUCCGAAAAUAAAACACAAGCUGCUUCUCUAUUCUUCUCUUAUGUUUCAUCAUCCCUCCCAUUCACUUCACUUCGUCUUCUUUUGUUCUGCUUUGGAACUUCUCUCAUUCUCUUCUCCUAGUCUCUUCAUCCCUCAAAGCAUAACAGGAUCUGUGACAAUAUCUCUUUCACUACCCCUUUCAUUUUGUCUAUGUAAUUUCUCACUCGAAAAUAAUCUACGAAAGACGAAGGAUUUGGAGGUGAAGGAAUCGAUUUGUUCUGGAAAGAAAUCGACCGUGAGACUUUUUUUUUUCAAGUUUGGCUGCGGGACUUGUUAGAUCUUGAAAGAAAUUGGCCAAAUAUUCUGCUUAGGGUCUGAUUCAGAGUUCGGCUCUGAAAUAUGGAGUGCGUCAUUAAGCGGCUGAAUUGUUUGUCUUUGACCACUUGGUGUAGCAUUGAUUGAAAUUCCAGCUGAAGCUAGUGAUGGAAGAUUGCAAGUUUUUAGUUGCAAAAUUUAAAUACCAUAGUAACCAAACCAUGACGAAAGUUUAGAGGUCUGUGAUUGACUAAAUGUAUUGGACAUUGGUGAGAGGAAGCUAAAAUAUGGGAUGUAUUGUGCAUUGAUCAACUAGAGGAUGCCUAUGUGGGUGUAGUUCAUUGUUAGAUCUAACCACUAUAAUUUCUGUGUGUUCUUCUCCUUUCAUCUCUAUUUUAUCACUUUUUUGAUACAAGUUACAUUUUUGGUUCGGCUGAUUUUCUAUUUUUCUUUUAUUGAAUGUUUGGUUGUGAUGUUGGUGUGUAUUGAAUAAGAAGGAGUUUGUGAGAAUUUGAUAUAACAAUUUCUAUAACUAAAUGUUCCAUUAUGGUAUCACUUCAACCAAAAACAACAUAUGUGGAUGGUAUUGGAUGCUCGAAGGGCUCGAAAGGUAGACAUAUUAAAUUCAACUUUUCUAUGUUUUGCUUGUUUCUUCUCCUUACUUCAUCUGUUAUUUGCCCCACCCCUUGCUAUUCUGAUGCCUGGGAAUGUAACGAUAAUAAAAGAAAUAGUAUCAUGAAAACAUUGAAAGCAUUACUAACAAUUUUAUUAAAUUUAUUUAUAGUUAACAUAGGUUGAAAUAAGUAGAAUUAUACCAGUUUUCUAAGACUUUGACUUCAUAGUGAUAUGACAUUGUUCAAAAUCUUGUAGUAGUGAAAUUCAAGAUUGAAUUGUAUGAUGGUUCACUUGUGCUAGAUGCUUAAAUGCAUACCAUGGAGUUCAAUUUUGUACCCAAAGUCGGAUGUAAGCUGUUUAUUUAACUAAUGAUUAUAUCAAUAAUUGAAAAGUCAGAACUAGAAUUUGGAAUGACUUGCAAGCAUUUUGUUGUAAUUGUCGUACUCCACCAAAAGGAGUAAGCUAACUGCAAGUUGAUGAUCAUUUCAUUAUUCUACUUCCUUGCUCCCAUUUAUUAAAAAUCUUUUUACUUGAUAUGAUCAUUUCUCCACUCAACGAAGAAAUAUUUUACAUGAAGCUGGCUAGGCUAGGGGUGACUACUCAGAAGCUCUCUCUUGCAUUUCAGAUCACCAUUGCAUUUCAAAAGCGGUG